UGGUGUUCGCAAUUGUGUGAUGUCGCAGUGUUGCUAAGCCAUCAUCUGUGGAAGAAUGACUGAAAGCCUCUAAGUCAAAAUUCGAUCUGGUUUGCGAAUUGAUUUUGGCCAUGUUUCAAAUCAGUACCUCCCGAAUCGCAUGCCAUUGCAAAAUUAUGCAGAAACGAACAGUUGGCCACGACCUACAAUUUCUUGUAGACCACUUGACGCAAUUCGGGUGCAGUGCGUGUGAAAGUAGUCU
rnacentral:rRNA from 1 species